rnacentral:rRNA from 1 species
AGGAUCGCUGAAAUAAUGACAUUACCGCUCACUCUCUUCGAUACUUGUAUAAAGUGGUGCGUGUUUGUCCUCAUCUCGUGUCGAGAGAUGUUGGGUUAACUCCCGCAACGAGCGCCCCCCUUUUUCUAUGUUGCCAGCACGUUGUGGUGGGAACUCGUGAGAUACUGCCGGGGUCAACUCAGAGGAGGGUGGGGAUGACCU